rnacentral:rRNA from 1 species
UACGUAGGGACCGAGCGUUGUCCGGAAUCAUUGGGCGUAAAGAGCGUGUAGGCGGCCACUUAAGUCCUGCGUGAAAUCCUGCGGCUCAACCGCAGGCGGUCGUGGGAAACUGGGUGGCUAGAGUGCGGGAGAGGAGAGUGGAAUUCCUGGUGUAGCGGUGGAAUGCGCAGAUAUCAGGAAGAACACCCGUGGCGAAGGCGGCUCUCUGGAACGCAACUGACGCUGAGGAGCGAAAGCGUGGGGAGCGAACAGG